UACGUAGGGUGCAAGCGUUAAUCGGAAUUACUGGGCGUAAAGCGUGCGCAGGCGGUUUUGUAAGUCUGACGUGAAAGCCCCGGGCUCAACCUGGGAAUUGCGUUGGAGACUGCAAGGCUUGAAUCUGGCAGAGGGGGGUAGAAUUCCACGUGUAGCAGUGAAAUGCGUAGAGAUGUGGAGGAACACCGAUGGCGAACGCAGCCCCCUG
rnacentral:rRNA from 1 species